ACAGGGAAAAGUGAUAGUGAGGAGCUUGUCAAGCAGAAAUUAUUCAAAACCAGAGACCAUCCCUUUGGCCACCCCACAACCAACUAUUGUUCUAUUUGUCUCUUUGAAUUUUCUAAGUUUUUAUGCCCUAUGGCAAAAAUAUUAUAGUUUGCUAAGUGUUGGUGUUGUCAACUGCUUUUCAACACCUGCACUGCUUCAAGAGUCCCUGUUUUGAGAGAAAAACAUUGAUUUAUAUGCUAAUUUUGUAAUUGCUAUACUCUGAUGGCGUGUGAAGAUUUAAGCAUCCGUUUGAUGUUUACUUCCAGCUCUUCCUUUAAAAAUACCUUUUAGGGGGUGGGAAUGCAUCUGGACAAUGUUUUUCCAGUUAGGCAAAGAAGAUGGUUGUUUUCUUUGGUUUUCCCCUAUUUCCAGGGUGUCAUGGAAGGCUACAAUGGCACCAUCUUUGCCUAUGGCCAGGCUGUCAGUGGGAAGUCCUUCACCAUGCAGGGAGCUGUGGAUCCUUCCUCACAGAAAGGGAUCAUUCCCAGGGCAUUAGAACACAUCUUUGAGAGUGUACAGUGUGCUGAAAACACCAAGUUCCUGCUGAGAGCCUCCUACCUGGAGAUCCACAAUGAGGACAUAGAGACCUUCUAGGAGCUGACACCAAGCAGAAGCUGGAGGACUGCCCCGGUGUACAAAACCAAGGCAGUAACAGCCUGCAGCAUUCUGGGAUGUUAACAGACCCAAACUGCCCUACAGGACAGGUAUUUCUAACAGGUUUCCUGCUUUAAGGCAGGCAAACCCCUGUGUGCUCCACGUUCCAAGCGUGCUUCGCCUGUCUCCUGCAGAGGGAGAGUGGGAGAAGGGGACUUGUUGCUGCAGUUUCCUUUCCUUUGUUCCACAGCGGCGGUGACACGGGUUUCCAUGGCGAUGCGGUUGGCACCGGGCGGGCAGGAGAUGGGCAGAGCAGUUUCCAGGGUAACUCUGCCUGUUGCUGCCUCCACUGAGUACUUCAGGGAGUGUGUCCUGCCGAAAUAAAUCCCAGGCUGCCCCACUGCAUUCCUCUGAGCCCCCCAGUUCCCCCAGAACCAGUUGUAUUCAUUCACCUCAGUGACUACAGCAUGUCUUUGGUCAGGUGUUCCUCAGGGACUCUGCAACACCCCCAGACAGAGCAAGGCCAGUCCUGGGGUUCUCAGUAGCACAGAGCAGUCACAGUGUAUGAACACUGCCUGUGACUGAACCUGGAUUCAUCCCGGUCAUCGUGGCUUUGGAACAAGGAUAAAUCCCACCCAGUUAAGUGUUCAGCCACUUUUGUUCUGUUCUGUGGGAUUUUUUUAACAGCAAACGCUGUUUUACAUUAUUUCUUGAUGAGCAUCACUGAAGUAUCUGAGCCUCCUCUUUGGAAGUCACAGUGUCAAAUGUGGUCUCUGUUGCUCUAUCAUGACAACUAUAUCUCAAUAUCCCAGCUGACAAGAUAAAGAUAAUUUUGGUGAUGAACUUAGCAGAUGUGGGGUGUAACAGAGCUGUGGAAAAUUCAUUUAGCUCAUUUAAAAUUCCCAUUGUGGAGGGGGCUGGUGUAGGAGUGCAGGGAUCUCUGGAUUAUUUUGUAUUUUUAUGUAGGCUUGAUGGGUAAAUUAAAAUUUUGGAUAUUUCCAUUGCUUAUUAAAAUUCAUGAAACUUUU